rnacentral:lncRNA from 1 species
AUGGAGACCCAACCGACGGCGGAUCAUGACGGCGGCGUCACCGCCGGCGCCGGCUACCCACGGUGUGUGAUACUCAGCCGCAACGGCGACGACUCCUCUCCACCCUUGUCCACCCCGGACGACAAGACCGAGGCGACCUCCGUCUCCUCCGGCGGCCACCUCGUCCGCGUCUCACUCUUCCUCGACGCGCCGCCGGCGUCGUCGCGCGUAUGUUUCGACUGCUUCCCGCGCAUCCACCGGGGCGCCAGCCUGAUCGUCGUGGGGCGACUCCGUGCUCCGGACGAUGAAGAAUGUGAAGAAUGGCAAGCAUAUGAAGAAGAGAGUGAAACCUGGCCGCGCCACCAUCAUCAGAUUCAUCACCAUCUGGAUGAGAAGACCACCGGCCUCUUGCGCCGCGGCGACGACGACAUGGUGGUGGUGGAUCUCGCCGUGCUGGAGGGCCACAGGCUGGAGGAGGAGGGGGACGCCGAGCUCCUCGUUCUCCGCUCCGGCGAGUGGACCGUCACGCGGGCGCCGGUCGCCCAGUUCGUCGGUAGAGCCGACAAGCCGCCGUCGUGGAUCACCGACAUGGCCGUCCCCGUCAGCGGGCGGCGGAUGUGCUGGGCCGACCUGUACCGCGGCAUCAUCCUCUGCGACGACGUGUUCGACCAGAAUCCGCAGCUGCGGUUCGUGCCACUUUCCCCCGAGGCCCUCACCGAUGAAACCGACGACGGCUACAAGCGGGAUUACGCCAUUACGGACCGAAGAGUUUGUGCCACCGACGGCGGCGCCGCGCUCAAGUUCAUCUACAUCAUCUCCCGCUGUUGCUGCGGCCUCCCCGGCACAACCUUCUGCGACAAUUCCAAGGAGGCCUUCAUCAUCAAGACCUGGAUACUCAGGAUGGACGACGACGACGACGACGACAUGGUUUGGACGAUGGACGCCAUGGUCGACGCCACCGAGCUCUGGUCUCUCCAUGCCUGCGCUGGCCUCCCACAAGUCAAACCAAUAUUCCCCGUCGCGAGCAUGGACGAUCCCCAUCUCAUCUGCUUCAUGGUGCAGGAGCGAGAAUUCGAGGGAAGAAGAAGAAGAUACUACCACAUCAAGAGAACAUGGAUGGUCAUGUUCGACACAAGGAGCAAGAAACUCUUGUCAGUCUGCAGCUGCCGCGAUAGUUGGCUCAUAUAACGCUCCGCUU